rnacentral:lncRNA from 1 species
AUAAUUUAAGAUAUUUAAUAUAUGUUAUCUAAUCUAAUGUGUUAUAAUAUAUAUUUAGUAAUAAAUUAAAUUAAUUUCAUUUUAACCUAUUACAGUUUAAUCUAAGAGCAUGUUUGGUUCAUGAUUGGAAUAGCAAUGAAAAAUAAAAUUGAGUUACUUUGGAAUGGAAAAUGGAAUGACGAAUUAUUCAAAAAUAUUUCGUUUAUUAUUGGAAUGGAAAUCGAAAAGAAAAUUUAAAAUUGUUGAGAGAGGAUUUUGAUUAAGAAAGAGGAAAGUGGUGAAGGGAGAGGAGAUGGGUGUUGGUGAAAGAGAAUUUUGAAUAAUUUGCUUUGGAAUGAGUCAAUCCGGAAUUCAAAAUCGGAUUGAAUCAUAAAUGAAUUUGGUCAUUUUCAUUCUGGAAUGGAAUGAAAAUCGAAAUCCGAUUCCUAUAAAACAAACAGCAACUAUCGGAAUCAAUAAAUUCCAUUCUGAUUCCAUAGUUUAAAAUAGGUGAACCAAACAUGUCCUAAAUUCAAGGUACCAAACAGGUUUUGAUUUACGAUCUUUAUCACACUAUUUGAAAAUA